CCCUGUCAGGCUGAGCGGCCGGGACAGCUUUGAAGCCUCCGCAUACUGGGUUGUUAUGACAACCGUCGCUCCCGGAUUACGUCAUCCUUCAAGUGUUUUGCCUUGACCUGAAGCCCUCUGCUGCUCCGAGACCGACCACGCCGGCAUGGGGACGCAAUAUAGUGUCGAAGAAAUCCAGAACUGGGUGCCCUCCAGCCUGUCCAACAACAUCUGAUGGUGAUGCUGCAGCAUCAGGUCCAUCAACACAAGGCUUUGGGCACAAAAGACGCCCUCCUGAAGACCACAAAAAAGACAACAUGUGGCAGUCAAGAGACCAAGGCCGGAUGAUCCCUCCAAAACACAUGAGUCUCCACCACAACGCAGAAUAUCCAUUGUGUCUUCUAAACCGCCACACCAAAUUUUGGACACUCCACUAAGACGCCAACCACACUCCCCUCAUC